CCCUUAGAUGUUCUGGGCCGCACGCGCGCUACACUGAACAGUUCAACAAGUCUUAACCUUGGCCGAUAGGUCUGGGUAAUCUUUGAACGCUGUUCGUGAUUGGGAUAGACCUUUGCAAUUAUGGGUCUUCAACGAGGAAUUCCUAGUAAACGCAAGUCAUCAGCUUGCAUUGAUUACGUCCCUGCCCUUUGUACACACCGCCCGUCGCACCUACCGAUUGAAUGGUCCGGUGAAAUCUCGGGACGGCGGCUUGGUCGCUUGCGUCCGACUGCUGAAACUUGAUUAAACCAUAUCAUUUAGAGGAAGGAGAAGUCGUAACA
rnacentral:rRNA from 1 species